rnacentral:tRNA from 1 species
GGACUCGUUGCUUAGUCUGGCUAAAGCGCAGGUCUUAUAAGCCUGAGAAAGCUUUACUUUUUGUAAAACUAUCAGGAAAUCGGGGGUUCAAAUCCCCCCGAGUCCA